rnacentral:rRNA from 1 species
AGUGAACGCUGGCGGCAGGCCUAACACAUGCAAGUCGAGCGGCAGCGCGUCCGACCACCCUCGGGUGGUCGGAUGGCGGCGAGCGGCGGACGGGUGAGGAAUGCAUCGGAAUCUGCCUCGUUGUGGGGGAUAACGUAGGGAAACUUACGCUAAUACCGCAUACGACCUACGGGUGAAAGUGGGGGACCUUCGGGCCUCACGCGAUGAGAUGAGCCGAUGCCGGAUUAGCUAGUUGGCGGGGUAAAGGCCCACCAAGGCGACGAUCCGUAGCUGGUCUGAGAGGAUGAUCAGCCACACUGGAACUGAGACACGGUCCAGACUCCUACGGGAGGCAGCAGUGGGGAAUAUUGGACAAUGGGGGCAACCCUGAUCCAGCCAUGCCGCGUGUGUGAAGAAGGCCUCGGUUGUAAGUAC